rnacentral:rRNA from 1 species
GAUGAACGCUGGCGGCGUGCCUAAUACAUGCAAGUCGAGCGAACGGACGAGAAGCUUGCUUCUCUGAUGUUAGCGGCGGACGGGUGAGUAACACGUGGAUAACCUACCUAUAAGACUGGGUUAACUCCGGGAAACCGUAGCUAAUACCGGAUAAUAUUUUGAACCGCAUGGUUCAAAAGUGAAAGACGGUCUUGCUGUCACUUAUAGAUGGAUCCGCGCUGCAUUAGCUAGUUGGUAAGGUAACGGCUUACCAAGGCAACGAUGCAUAGCCGACCUGAGAGGGUGAUCGGCCACACUGGAACUGAGACACGGUCCAGACUCCUACGGGAGGCAGCAGUAGGGAAUCUUCCGCAAUGGGCGAAAGCCUGACGGAGCAACGCCGCGUGAGUGAUGAAGGUCUUCGGAUCGUAAAACUCUGUUAUUAGGGAAGAACAUAUGUGUAAGUAACUGUGCACAUCUUGACGGUACCUAAUCAGAAAGCCACGGCUAACUACGUG